CCUUUCUUUUUUAUUUUUCACUUUGAUUUCACUCACUGGAUUUAGUGCGGACUGAACUUGUUUGCUUCAAAUCCUGUAUCAGCAGAGUACACAAAUGUGCAUUUAUUAUUCAAUGGGAUAUUAGUAGAAUGUCUUGUAAACAUUUUCAGGAUGGAAAACUGUGUCUGUGCUAAAGCUAUCUCUUCCUAUAGAGAAGGGAAACUAAUGGUAGUGUGUGAACGGUAGUGAAUCUCUUCUUUUUUUUGCUGUUGUCAGCUUUUUUAAUGCAGAAAGGUGGACUUCGCAGCAGCAAAUGUUUUAGCAUGAGGAAUCAGAGAACUUUCAUCCAGCUUAAUAGUUCAAAAUGUAGAUGUUUCCAUCUAAAGCAAUUGCUGUGUCUUCCUUUAUGUCCAAGGAAAUAAGCUCCUGGGGGGUUCUGCCGCAGGUCCUCAGUGCAGGUAGUGGUGGCAGCAGACCCCUGUGCAUGCUAGAGACCAGAGUCAUGAUGGGUCCCCACAGCCUUCCUCAAGGGUAAGGAAUCUUUUCCUUAAAACUUGAGAAGUGUGUUUCCAGCUUUGAGCUCAAGUCAUUGAUUUUCUUCAGUGAAAAAAAUGAAGCCUGUUCGCAGAUAGUGGUGGCAUUUCUUCCUUCGUACUCCAUUUGAAAGGGGCAGGUAGCGCUACCAAGCUGUUCAGUUCAUGGGAUUUAUUUGUGUUUUCAGCUCACUAUGAAGCUUCAAAGUGCUAUGUAAGUAUUAUUGUGAUUGUGUUUUCAAGACUAUCUGUUGCCAGUCUUAUUGCUGCAAGCUUGAGCACAUAGCUAUACUUUGUAAACAUCAACCCCCCCCCCCCCCCAUCUUGGACAGGCAUUAUUUUUUUACUUAUUUAUUUACUUAUUUGUUUCUGGACACUUUUAAAGGUUGUGGAAAUUAAUUAUAUUGAAUUCUAUACAUAUAUGUGUGUGUGUACACACAUGUGCAUACACAUAUGUAUAUAGGGCUUAUAUAUAUUUAUGUGUAAUAAGUUGGAAUUACAUUAGAAUUGGAUGAUCCAGAGAAAUAAUUAACAAAGCAGGGGCUGUGCCUCUUCACCUUCAUUUUACCUCUGAUACAUGCAUUUGCACGAGUGCCUUGUUUCCACCUUGCUGUUUGCAUUAGUGCCAUUAGUGGCUGGUAGAAUAGAUGUGAGAUGGUGAAGCUGUGGUGCUGAGGAAGCAAGAGAGUUUGAAUGAUUGAGAAACCCCAACCAUAGUAUUUCCUGGGAUAUUUAUGUGGCACACAUAUUGGUUAGCUUAUUAACAGGCGGGUCAGAGGGCAGGCAGAAAGGAAAGCUAUGGCUGGAGAUGAACAAUCUCCCAGCAAAAAAAGUCAUCCCAAGGGAUGCUCAAGCUCUGAGAGGUUGCAGUGCUGCAGCCCAAGCCCCAAGACUCAUUUCCCAAGGCUGAAUGCAGCAGGCAGCUAUGUCCCUUUCUGCAGUCCAAGAAGUUGUCAAAGAGCCUGGCUAUCUUCCAGUGCAUGUCAUGUCCUAAGGUAAAAUGGAUAGGUCUUCAGACUGUUUUGCAUGCCUGUUUUGCAAAUCCCUUUCCUGGAGACUUUUACUGGGGAUAACUUUUAUUAAUGCACUGUUAAAAAAAAAAAAAAAAAAUUACCAGGCAGCUGCCUUUUGGUCUCUGCCUUCAGCCCACCUCUCCCAGAGCAAGCCUGACUGUCCCUCUGUCAUAGCCCUCAGGCUGGAAGCAAGUCCUGGGGAGGGCCCACAGUUCCCUCCCUGUCCCUCUCCCUUCCUUUGCAUUCUUUCUCCCUUGAAAACCAUGUGUGUUCCUAUCCAGCAAAGUAGUGGAGCAGCACAAAGCUGUGGAUGCUGCCGUGGUGGGACAGUCAGGGUCUCAAAGGAGGGAGUGGAUGAGGUAGAGUAUUGAAAUCUGAGAGCUGACAUGCCAGGAGGGUGCAAAUCCUGGGAAAGAGGCUUGUCAUCAGUUCCUUUGCCUAAAUCCAUGCCUUCCUCACACAUCCUGCAAAUCACUUCUCGCAAGGCCAGAACUAAUACGUGUUUUGUCUUCAGGGAGAAAGACUCUUUGCAAUCACUCUAUUGUGAUUAUAAAUCACAACAUUGGAACUUUUCUGACAUGUUACCUCCCUUUUCAUGGAGCACUCAGCUAGGUACAGGCAAACAGAAGGGUCUUCAGCCAUACCUGGCUGCCUUUUCUAUUCAGAAAAAUUGGCACAGCUCCAUGUCUGAGUAAGUCUGCCCUUCUGGGAACUAAGGAUGUUUAAAAGAAGGUGGCAAGUCUUAUUAGCAUAAAACAGCCCUCUACACUGACACACUUCCGAGCUACAUCUACAUUAAUUUCCACUGUGUUGGAGUGACAGCCCUGUGGCUGCACUCACCCUGCAGAUUUGCCACAAGUUGCAGUGGUAGGAAUCUCAAAGCUGACUUAUUAAGAGGAAACAUUUCAAACAGGUCAAGGCUUGGCCCUCCCUUUUGCCUGUAAAAUUUGUAUCUCCAUGUCUGCACUUGUAAAAUACUUCUCUGUGUACUUGCACCUCUCCCCACUCCCAUUUAUCCCAGCAAGUGGCUGAAGGUGGCAACGCUUUUAUCUGAGUUUGGUUUUCAAUCCCAAGUGGAAAGAGUCUGUGUAAAUUGCAAGGCUGACCUUCUGAAAAUGAGGCCUUGAGUUGUUACCCCCUCUUGUAUUUAACUUGCAAUUUACCACACAGAGGGAAGAUAAAUUAGAUAGGUUAAUUAAGAAGCUCUGGAAUACUUUUGAUCAUUGUGCUAUGCAAUCAUAGAUGCAUCUUGCCUUUAGGACCCUGAAUAUGCUGACAUGAAGCCUUUU
ensembl:lncRNA